GGGCAUCCGCUGGGGCGCGUUCCCGCGCGGCGGCGCGGCUGGGUGAGCGGAGGCAGAGAGGAUCUUCGCACCCAGAGCCGAGGCUGUACGCGAGGGAGCGCAGCUCGGGGACGAGCCGCCUCCCCACCCCCGCGACGCCGUGCCCGGCUCCGGGGCGCAAGCGCUAUGGCAGGACCCCUUUCCCUUCUUCUAGCUCUUCUGAGAACCCUGGAGGGUAUACACAUUCCAACUGGGAGAUCCAUUUGAUUUCUGCUUCAAGUUAAGUGAUUGAUGAUUAGAAGCUGAGGAGAAUUGAUAACACAAGAAGAUAAUGCAUUUCGAAGAGGUUUUGGAAACAAACAGCAACAGAAAAAGAUUCUUCGCUAACUUUUGAGAAAGAAAUGAUCUCAAAAUACCCUUGUGUCUACUGAUAUUUCAAGGAGGUUUGGAAGUCCAAAAGCCGGCUGUUUCUUUUCUGUGGGAUAAAGAUGGAGCAUGUGAAUCAGAACUGGUAAAUUGGAGAGGAGGUCACAAACCGAAUGGAGUUAAGCAAAGUGCAGUGCAAUCUGCAGUGGGAGAAAAGCCAGUUGUACAGAGGGGAAGGACUGGUUACCAUUAAAGUCUUCAAAAUUGGGACCUCAGAGGAGAAAUGAGUGGAGAAAUGAAUGGAGAACAACUCCUUGUUUCUCUCCCUCUCUUCUAGAGGAUGGGGCUAGUGUAAUGAGAUCCAGGUACAAUCCUUGAGAUAUCAGGGAUCCCCAUCCUGGUCUAUUCAGAAGUCCCCCAAACCUUCAGUGCCUAUAGUUCAUGUACUGCCUCUUCCAAAGAGCCUGCCUCGAUGGCUUGAUUGCAGUCAUCAAAUGACAUCUCACUAUUGAGAUGAUGUGUUUCCUUGUCCUUUUCUCAAUGGAAUGUGAGAUUCUUGAGACAAAGAUGUAACAGGCACACAAUAAUUAUUUGUUGAAUGUUGGCUGUAUCAGCUUCUCUGGUUGGAAAUAAUCCCCCCUCCUCUGAGUUCCCCUGGUGCUUUGCACUUACCUCACUCAUGUGAUCUUUUUCACAUUCCACUUUAUACUAUAAUUUCUGUAUUUUUUUAGCUCCACUAUUAUACUCAAAUUCUUCUGCAACAGAGAUGAGAUAAUGCAUGUAAAGCAUUAGUACCAUGUCUGCUGAAUAAAUGAUAGCUAUUAUUAUUUGUGUAAUGAGGCACUUGGAGGAGCAGAAAAUGAAUUUUAUUUAAAAAAACAGCUUUGGAAAAUCACAUUUGAAUAGAUCUUUAUUUUGCAAGAGUCACUUGAGUGAAUUACAAUACUACAAGAGACCUACUGCCUUGGAAGAAGGGAAUAAUACGAUGACUUGGUCUUGAAAUAUCUGUUCAGUGCUAAGCUGCACAACUUCAGGGGACAUCAUCCAUAUUGUAAUAGAUUGUGAUGGACAUAUUCUGAGAGGCACAAUGUGGAUGGUACCCCUGGAGUUCUGCAAGGAAGCUGCCCUGAAAAAAGAAAAGGAAAAGAGGCUUUGACCCUUUAUCUUUGAGGUCCUAGGUUACUGGUCCUCAAAUGGAUUGAUAUGGUACUCACUGAGAAUUAUCAGCAGGAAAGAAGAACAAGGGCCCCAGAGAGGCACUUGCCAUAAGGGAAGGGCUGUCUGCAGAGCACUGGGCUCAGCAAAGCUUUCUGACUGAGGCUAGAUGCCAUUGGGAAACAAGGAUGGACCUGAAUCACUGAAGGGCCACUGUAACCUUAAAAUCUUUCUGGGCUCUCCCCAGCACCAGUCAGAAACACCAAGGUAGAUCUAGAAGUCUCUUUUCCUCUCUAUUUCACCAGCUGCUUUUCCUCGAGGGUCCAGGAAGUUGAGACUGAUGUUUUAAUUUCACUUCAAAUAUACCAUCCUGUACUGUGUAUGCUCAGCAAGUGUUAAUGACUGACCGGCUAGCUGGUUGAGUGAAAAGUUUUAAUAUUGAAAGAAUUGGAGUCAUUCAUUAUUAUUUGAUUCCAGACAUGAGACAGAGUGGCAAUUUGAGGAAAAUAGUCCCAUGUGAUUUUGUGUGUGUGAUUUUUAUUAUUAAAAAACUAAAUCUAUCAUUACAU